CCUACGGGACGCACCAGUGGGGAAUAUUGGACAAUGGGGGGAACCCUGAUCCAGCCAUGCCGCGUGUGUGAAGAAGGCCUUUUGGUUGUAAAGCACUUUAAGCGAGGAGGAGGCUACCUAGAUUAAUACUUUAGGAUAGUGGACGUUACUCGCAGAAUAAGCACCGGCUAACUCUGUGCCAGCAGCCGCGGUAAUACAGAGGGUGCGAGCGUUAAUCGGAUUUACUGGGCGUAAAGCGUGCGUAGGCGGCCAAUUAAGUCAAAUGUGAAAUUCCCGAGCUUAAUUUGGGAAUUGCAUUCGAUACUGGUUGGCUAGAGUAUGGGAGAGGAUGGUAGAAUUCCAGGUGUAGCGGUGAAAUGCGUAGAGAUCUGGAGGGAUACCGAUGGCGAAGGCAGCCAUCUGGCCUAAUACUGACGCUGAGGUACGAAAGCGUGGGGAGCAAACAGGAUUAGAUACCCCCGUAGUC
rnacentral:rRNA from 1 species